rnacentral:rRNA from 1 species
GACGAACGCUGGCGGCGUGCUUAACACAUGCAAGUCGAACGGAAAGGCCCUGCUUUUGUGGGUUGCUCGAGUGGCGAACGGGUGAGUAACACGUGUGUAACCUGCCCUUGUCUUUGGGAUAUCAUCAGGAAACUGGGGCUAAUAUCGGAUAGGAGCUCCUGCUCCAUGGUGGGGGUUGGAGAGGUCCGGCGGUGGUGUAUGGACUCGCGGGUUAUCAGCUGCUUGGUGGAGUAGUGGCUUACCAGGGGUUUGACGGGUAGCCGGCCUGGGAGGGUGACCGGCCACAUUACGACUGAGAGACGCACCAGACUCGUACGGUAGGCAGUAGGCGAGAACAUUGCACAAUGAGGCGACGCCUGAUACAGAGGCGCCGGGUUCGGGAUGAUGGCUUACUGGUUGUGAACCGCUUUCGACUGAGCCGUGGCGUGAUUGACGGUAAUGGGUCAAAAAGCACCGGCUAACUACGUG